rnacentral:lncRNA from 1 species
GGUGGCUCCUCGCAUACAGUCCGCAGAGCGCGCAUACCGUUAGCGGGCAUCAGAGGCAUCCUUCGAAACGGCAGUCAGCGCGCGACGUUAACGAGAAGGUGACGGUGACUGAGACGGUGACGGAGACGGAGACAGAAACAGAAACAGAAACAGAGCCGACAACGACGUCGACGACCGCUGUGUUGUGUGUGGCUUGAACCCCGCGUUGAAUGGACCCACGCUCUGACCACCUGACCCAGACCCCAGACCACGACAACGGCCAGGACCACAACGACAAACCCACAAACAUUACAGACAACACAUUCAACACAGACAACAACGUCGCACUGACCAACUGACCAAGUGAGCCACUGCACUAGACGCCAUCCAGCC